UGGGCAACCUGCCCCUGACACUGGGAUAACCCCCGGGGAAACCGGAGCUAAUACCGGAUACGCUCGGCCGAUCACAUGGCUGGCCGAGGAAAGGUCCGCCGGUCAGGGAUGGGCCCGCGGCCUAUCAGCUUGUUGGCGAGGUAACGGCUCACCAAGGCGACGACGGGUAGCCGGCCUGAGAGGGCGAUCGGCCACACUGGGACUGAGACACGGCCCAGACUCCUACGGGAGGCA
rnacentral:rRNA from 1 species